AAGAAACCUGUCCUCCCGGCAGACCCAAACUCCCCUCUCAUAGAUCUUCUCUCUGACAGGCCUGGCUAAAACGGAGGAGGCAGAGCCGCCGGCCAGAUCAGUUGCCGGGCCACAGUCUGAUAAGGGUUUCUCCCCUGUCGCAGGGAGAUUGCGCAAUAAGCGCGAGGUGAUGCCAGAUACAACCUCCCAGGCUUUCCCACUUAGACAGGGAACCAGUGGCCAGACCCAAUACUGGCCGUUUUCAGCAGCUGACAUUUACAAUUGGAAACAAAACAACCCUUCUUUCUCCAAAGAUCCGGUGGCACUCACCGACCUAAUAGAAUCUGUUUUACUUACCCACCAGCCUACUUGGGAUGACUACCAACAGCUCUUACAGGCCCUCUUAACCUCAAAAAAAAAAAAAAAA
rnacentral:lncRNA from 1 species